GUUGUUCAGUGCGGGGUCUGACAGAGGAGGCUCCGUGUCUGCAGCUAGUGUGUCAACUCAGCGUUUCUCCUCUCGUCCCUGGAGAGCUAAAGAUGGCUGAAUUUCUAGAUGACCAGGAAACUCGACUGUGUGACAACUGCAAAAAAGAAAUUCCUGUGUUUAACUUUACCAUCCAUGAGAUCCACUGUCAAAGGAACAUUGGUAUGUGUCCUAUCUGCAAGGAACCAUUUCCCAAAUCUGACAUGGAGACUCACAUGGCUGCAGAACACUGUCAGGUGACCUGCAAAUGUAACAAGAAGUUGGAGAAGAGGCUGUUAAAGAAGCAUGAGGAGACUGAGUGCCCUUUGCGGCUUGCUGUCUGCCAGCACUGUGAUUUAGAACUUUCCAUUCUCAAACUGAAGGAACAUGAAGAUUAUUGUGGUGCCCGGACGGAACUAUGUGGCAACUGUGGUCGCAAUGUCCUUGUGAAAGAUCUGAAGACUCACCCUGAAGUUUGUGGGAGAGAGGGGGAGGAAAAGAGAAAUGAGGUUGCCAUACCUCCUAAUGCAUAUGAUGAAUCUUGGGGUCAGGAUGGAAUCUGGAUUGCAUCCCAACUCCUCAGACAAAUUGAGGCUCUGGACCCACCCAUGAGGCUGCCGCGAAGGCCCCUGAGAGCCUUUGAAUCAGAUGUUUUCCACAGUAGAACUACCAACCAAAGGAACAUUACAGCCCAGGUUUCAAUUCAGAAUAAUCUGUGUGAGUUGUGCUUGGGAUUAGGGAACUAGAAUGGUAUCAAAAUCCCAAGGCAAAUGGGAACAGGGCUUUGGGGCCAGAUAGAUCUUGAUUAUAGAAACCCGACUGUAGCUGAGUAACACUGGGAAGAAUACCUCAACUUUCCUAUAAAAUGGAAAUAACCUCCAUUGGAUUAUAGUUAGGGUUCAUAAUGGUGAGGAUGAUGACAGUGUUGUAAAUAGCCAACACUUAUACAGAUUGAGUAUCCCUUAUCCAAAAUACUUGGGGCCAG
rnacentral:sRNA from 1 species